rnacentral:rRNA from 1 species
CCUACGGAGGGCAGCAGUGGGGAAUAUUGGACAAUGGGGGGAACCCUGAUCCAGCCAUGCCGCGUGUGUGAAGAAGGCCCUCGGGUUGUAAAGCACUUUCAGUGAGGAAGAACGCCUGGUGGUUAAUACCCAUCAGGAAAGACAUCACUCACAGAAGAAGCACCGGCUAACUCCGUGCCAGCAGCCGCGGUAAUACGGAGGGUGCGAGCGUUAAUCGGAAUUACUGGGCGUAAAGCGCGCGUAGGUGGCUUGAUAAGCCGGUUGUGAAAGCCCCGGGCUCAACCUGGGAACGGCAUCCGGAACUGUCAAGCUAGAGUGCAGGAGAGGAAGGUAGAAUUCCCGGUGUAGCGGUGAAAUGCGUAGAGAUCGGGAGGAAUACCAGUGGCGAAGGCGGCCUUCUGGACUGACACUGACACUGAGGUGCGAAAGCGUGGGUAGCAAACAGGAUUAGAUACCCGGGUAGUC